UGAGAGGGCUCUCCUGGCACCAUAACCACUACAUUGUAAUGUAGUGGUUAUGGUGCUUGGGGUGUUCACUUA